GGACAAAGUGUUUGGCGACAUCAACCGCC
rnacentral:sRNA from 1 species